rnacentral:tRNA from 1 species
GGGGCUGUAGCUCAGUGGCAGAGUGCUUGCCUAGCAUGCAUGAGGCACUGGAUUUGAUCCUCAGCACAUCA